CCCUUAGAUGUCCGGGGCCGCACGCGCGCUACACUGAAGGAAUCAGCGUGGCUUUCUCCUUGACCCGAAAGGGUUGGGAAACCCGUUGAAUCUCCUUCGUGAUAGGGAUUGGGGCUUGAAAUUGUUCCCCAUGAACGAGGAAUUCCCAGUAAGCGCGAGUCAUAAGCUCGCGUUGAUUACGUCCCUGCCCUUUGUACACACCGCCCGUCGCUACUACCGAUUGAACGGUUUAGUGAGGGCCUCGGAUUGGUCUCGGCCCGCUCUUUACCGGGCGGCGCCGUUGGUCGAGAAGACGCUCGAACUUGAUCGUUUAGAGGAAGUAAAAGUCGUAACA
rnacentral:rRNA from 1 species